GCCUCGGUAGCUCAGUCGGUAGAGCAAAGGACUGAAAAUCCUUGUGUCAGCGGUUCGAUUCCACUCUGAGGCACCA
rnacentral:tRNA from 1 species